rnacentral:rRNA from 1 species
AUUGAACGCUGGCGGCAGGCUUAACACAUGCAAGUCGAGCGGGGUGAUGGUGCUUGCACUAUCACUUAGCGGCGGACGGGUGAGUAAUGCUUAGGAAUCUGCCUAUUAGUGGGGGACAACAUCUCGAAAGGGAUGCUAAUACCGCAUACGUCCUACGGGAGAAAGCAGGGGAUCACUUGUGACCUUGCGCUAAUAGAUGAGCCUAAGUCGGAUUAGCUAGUUGGUGGGGUAAAGGCCUACCAAGGCGACGAUCUGUAGCGGGUCUGAGAGGAUGAUCCGCUACACUGGGACUGAGACACGGCCCAGACUCCUACGGGAGGCAGCAGUGGGGAAUAUUGGACAAUGGGGGCAACCCUGAUCCAGCGAUGCCGCGUGGGUGAAGAAGGCCUUCGGGUUGUAAAGCCCUUUAGGUUGGGACGAAGGGUGCGUGGUGAAUAGCCAUGUACUUUGACGGUACCGACAGAAUAAGCACCGGCAAACUCUGUGCCAGCCGCCGCCGUAC